rnacentral:rRNA from 1 species
UACAGGUUCUUCUUUGACUUUUCUACAACAUUUAUUGGCGUGGGAAUGAUUUGCCCACCUAUGGUAAAUAUUACAUUACUAGCCGGAGGCAUCACAUCGUGGGGGUUUUUGUUCCCUUUUCUCGAAACAAAAAGUGGGCAAUGGUAUCACACUAGUAGUCCAACAAGUUUAGUUGGAUCAAAUGGAUACAAGGUCUUUAUUACAGUUACACUUAUCGUUGUUGAUGGUAUUUACAACUUCAUUAUACUACUUAUCACUGCCUUCAUUGACUUCAGACAAAAACAACAAGAAACAGAUUCAGUGGUGGGGAACUACUUGAGAAAACACCCGAGUCUUAAUUAUGAUGACCGUAGAAGGAUUGAGGUAUUCCUUGAAAAUAGAAUACCUUUUUCCAUACCGGCGGUUGCAUAUGUGGUGUGUGCAAUAAUUUGUGCAAUUAUUAUCCCAAGGAUGUUCUACCAGAUAACUUUCUUCAAUGUCCUUACAAUUUACAUUAUUAUCCCGGUGCUUGCGCUCACCAAUACCUAUGCAACUGGGCUCACGGACUGGAAUGUUGCAUAUACUUACGCCAAGUUCACGAUCUUCAUCGUCUCAGCAUGGGUUGCCAAGCCUGGUGCAAUUGUCGCUAGCCUUGUAGCAUGUGGGCUAGUAGUGUCAGCCCUUCAUGUUUCCUCUCAAGCAACACAAGACGUGAAGACAGGUUACAUGACACUAACCUCACAACGAGCCCUGGUCAUCAUGCAAAUUUUGGGUAUAAUCAUUGGUUCAAUUCUUACCCCAUGCAUCUUCCGCGCCUUUCAAAACACGGCCAAGGCGCACAUUCCCAUUGGAGCACCAGACUCGGAAUACCCAUGUCCAUAUGCUGGGGUUUAUCGUGCCAUCGCGGUGGUUGGCACAGGAGGUGCCAAGGAGCUCCCUGACCAUUGUCUAAUGUUUUGCUUUGCUGCAGCUUGCUUUGCCAUUGCAGUCAACACACUCUCAAUUGUGUCUCGGAGGAAUGGCUGGAAAAUAAUGAACUACAUUCCCAAUGUCACCGUGUUUGCAUUGCCAUUCUUCAUUGGAUCAUCUGGCCCCAUUGAUAUGUGCAUAGGCACUAUAGUGAUGUUUAUAUGGACUAAAAUUAAUAGCCAAAGUGCUGCCUUACUAUCAUCCGCAGUUGCAGCUGGCUUGAUGUGUGGAGACGGUCUAUUUGCACUACCAUCAUCAAUGCUCACCCUUUUCAGUGUGGAGCCACCCAUGUGCAUGAAGUUCAUUCAGAGUGGAAAACAACUUGACUUGGCAGAUUCCUUCAUAAAAACUAUCCCCACGCCUGCAAAGCCAUGA